UACGUAGGUGGCGAGCGUUGUCCGGAUUUACUGGGCGUAAAGGGCGUGCAGGCGGUUUGUUAAGUGCAGGGUGAAAGCUCCCGGCUCAACUGGGAGAGGUCCUUGCAUACUGGCGAACUCGAGGGAGGCAGAGGAAAGUGGAAUUCCCGGUGUAGUGGUGAUAUGCGUAGAUAUUGGGAAGAACAUCAGUGGCGAAGGCGGUCUGCUGGGCCGUUGCUGACGCUGAGGCGCGACAGCGUGGGGAGCAAACAGG
rnacentral:rRNA from 1 species